rnacentral:rRNA from 1 species
CAAUAGCGUAUAUUAAAGUUGUUGCGGUUAAAAAGCUCGUAGUUGGAUUUCUGCUGAGAACGACCGGUCCGCCCUUUGGGUGUGUAUCUGGCUCUUUCUUGGCAUCUUCUUGGUGAACGUUGCUGCACUUGACUGUGUGGAGCGCUACCCAGGACUUUUACUUUGAGGAAAUUAGAGUGUUUCAAGCAGGCAUACGCCUUGAAUACAUUAGCAUGGAAUAAUAAGAUAGGACCUCGGUUCUAUUUUGUUGGUUUCUAGAGCUGAGGUAAUGAUUAAUAGGGAUAGUUGGGGGCAUUCGUAUUUAACUGUCAGAGGUGAAAUUCUUGGAUCGUAGCACGACGAACAACUGCGAAAGCAUUUGCCAAGAAUGUUUUCAUUAA